AGAAUCAUUCACUCAACUGAUUCUUUCAGAAACACUGAUUCAUUCGGAAACAAACAAGCAUUAAAGUGUUUAUUCCUCUGCCCAUGGUCUCGUCUCGAAACAUUUCGGUUGGGGGAACAACAGUAGACAAACUAACUGGAGAGAAUUCGUCUAAAAUAUGACUGAUAUCACUUGUGUUGUGUUUAUUUGUACAACAAAUGUAAGGACAGAUGAGGAGCAGUGAGAAGCUCUAGAGGGGGAUGGUGACAUCCACGGCAUUCAGGCUUGUCCUGCUGAGGGUGAGUGGAACAACAACUUAUUGAAGAUUCUGUGCUGACACCGAGACCUUCCCUUGGUACAUUCUUGUCCGACUGUACACACAUGAAUAUAUAUGCAUCAGACAUGCUGCCGGGCAGUUUUUCCUCAACACCAAUAAACCAACAAUAGUUUUCAAAUCACCUGAAAAAUGAGUCCAAGGACGAGGCGGCCCGGAGAAAGGCGUGGUGCCCAGCCUGAAAAACGAUCAGCCGCAUUGACCAAGAUGAAUGGAGCUCAGAUGGCUUUUAAUUAGUGCAGCUGGGCUCAUUAAUUAUAAACCCCCAAUACAAAUAUUGUUAUAUUUGAGGAAAUUUGUGAUUUAUUUUAUUUGGUUGGCUGUUAGAUGGAGAUGAAUGGUAGUUCCUCGUAAAUGUUGCGGGGACACAAAAGCAGAUGAAAGGAGAGAAAAGGGAAGAUCAGCCACAGGGCACAUCGGUUAUUAUUCUGCACACAAUCAAGUGAAACAAAAGAAACGUAACUGCAAAUAAUCGUUGAAAAGCUGCAGAACAAUCUCACGACUGCCUUUAAUCUAAAAGGUGAAGUUUGUGCAUGGUCCAAAACACCCGUGAUGUUGAAGUCUGUUGUGAGUUUUAAACCAAUCCAAACCUUUUAACUGCACAUUUGUACAACUGGUGUCUCACAGAAUAAUUUUUUUUAAAGAAUUGAGCUGCAUUUAACGUAGCCCCAAAAUGUACAUAGAUAAGUGCCAUUAAUUUUUUUUAAUGAAUGUACUGUAGCACAAAUACAGUUUUGAAGCAAAAUGUUUUCACAAAAUGAUUUACUUUUUAAUUAUUUUAUACCUAAAGCAGUGAUAUUCAGACCACAGGCAUAAGUAUGACUUCUAAGUGUCCAAAAGUGUGUGUUUUGGCCAGCGUUUAAGCAUUAAACCCAAAGAUGCAUGGUACGUGGUGCCAUAAACUUCCUAAUAGUUAGCAACAUUUCUUUUUAUUUCCCUUCUCUUUCCUUCACUAUUUUUUCCUGCUUUGUUGAACAAACUUCACUCUUGUUCAUGGCAGCUGCAUCAGUUGUGUGUGAGAAAUGGAGCUGCGGUGAAUCACGGCACUCUGGUUCGCCCCAGCCCAGCGUGACUGUGGAGCGCCUGCUGGAAUCCGGUGGAAUGUGCCAAAAUUGAAGCCUGCUCGGCCCAGUCAUCCUUAGCAGGGAGACAUUAGUUACGAUACAUUAUCUGAAUGGCCUGCCAUCUUUUCAAAGUAAACCUCAUGGAUAUUAGCCUGUCUCUUUUUAUAUUUUUUUUCCUCAGGUGCACUAUCACACACAGACACACACACAUAUACUAUGAUGCACGCACAUUUGAGUGGACACACGGGAACACCUAUAAUAGGCUUACACGACCACGGUUAACUCGCACACCCUGCAAUUACAAACAUACAAACACACACUCACUCUUUAUGUGGAGCCACCCCUUCUCGCUUCUCACACUCCUUGGGCUAUAAUAAAUUUCUUUGAAACAUGACUCUACACAUGAGGGGAUGGCAAUCUAGAGAGCAGAAAUUAAAAUUUCAUUAUUUACUGCACUUGUGUUGCAGGGUGCAAUUAGUAUCUACAGAGCAUGGAACGGGAAUAUUUAAUUCUUUCUUUCGUUCUAUCUUUCUCUCUCUCUCUCUCUCUUUUUCUUUCUUUCUUUCUUUCUUUCUUUCU